rnacentral:rRNA from 1 species
GAUGAACGCUGGCGGCGUGCCUAAUACAUGCAAGUCGAGCGAACAGAUGAGGAGCUUGCUCCUCUGACGUUAGCGGCGGACGGGUGAGUAACACGUGGAUAACCUACCUAUAAGACUGGGAUAACUUCGGGAAACCGGAGCUAAUACCGGAUAAUAUAUUGAACCGCAUGGUUCAAUAGUGAAAGACGGUUUUGCUGUCACUUAUAGAUGGAUCCGCGCCGCAUUAGCGAGUUGGUAAGGUAACGGCUUUCCAAGGCAACGAUGCGUAGCCGACCGGAGAGGGUGAGCAGCCCCACUGGAAAUGAGACACGGUCCCGACACCUCCGGGAGGGAGCAGUGGGGAAUAUUGGACAAUGGGCGCAAGCCUGAUCCAGCCAUACCGCGUGGGUGAAGAAGGGCUUCGGGUUGUAAAAACCUUUUUUUGGGAAAGAAAAAAAGCAGGUUAAUACCCUGCCGUUCUGACGGGAGCCAAAGAAAAAACACCGGCUAACUUCGUG